UUCAUUAAUAUCGGUCGCAAAUUUUAACUCUGCGACGUCGUUUUACUUCGCAAUAAAAUUGCAACCGAUUUGCGACUGAAAGUGUCGGUCGCAUAUAAUCGGUCGCCAAUCGGUCUCAGAACUUAUUCUUAAUUUUGAAGCGCGCAAUGUUGCGACGGAAUUUAAGUGCCUGCAAAAGACUCUACGACUAAGAUUUGAAGAAGGGAUCCAAAUGCUCAAGGAAGCAGGAGUGGAAGUUCAUCCUCAUGGGGACUUGAAUACAGAAGCAGAGAGAAAAUUAGGCCAGCUUGUUUUAGAGAAUUAAUU